rnacentral:lncRNA from 1 species
AAUAUACACAAAGUAUUCGAUACACGAUAGUGAGAAUCAAAUUAGUGCAAUGUAAUUAUCACCCUAAUAUCAAAGGCAAAUCAAGUAACCAAAUACAUAUUAUGCACAGUGCAUUUCAGAGCAGUGUUGGACAGUGUAACAAGAAAGAAUAGAAAUCUUGCAAGCAAACAACAACUAAAAAUGAAUAUUUCAAGUAUAUUCUACAUGUAAAAUGUAUAGAAACUGUCAAGUCAAGCUCUUACUCUGUAGCAGCGAAAGAUAACCAAGUGAAUGUGAACAAUCAAAAAACAACAAUAAGUCGAGAGAACUCAAACAAUUACCUGCUAUUAUUCCACAAAAGAAAUGUUAUCUUGAGUGUCUAUAAUAUGGAAUAUUAUGGAAUCGUCCAUAAGCUGCGCCAACUUCUAUGCGAAAACUUUGAAUUCGCUUAUUUUAUGUUAGUUGUAAUUUAUUUUUUAUAUACAAAUAUACAUACACACACAGAUAUAGAGAUGUAUGGAUUAUAAAUGUAAAUAUGAAUUCAAACCUUCCUCCCUGUGUGAUCUCUCUGUCUCUACACCGAGUAUAAAUGUUGUGGAUUAAUAAUUGUAUCUGUAUACCCCCCUAAGCCCAACGGAACAAGCCAAAAGAAAACUCAGACUACGCUCUCUUUGUAAAUGUAGCUUUAUCUCAGUGUACCAGAGUCGGGAAUAAAUCAUCUGCUUUAUAUCUGAUUUUUAUCUUAGCUACAAGUACACACAAAGUACAUACAUAUUUACCCUCAAAACAUAUACAAAAGCUGUGCUACUGUGUGUAACGAGUACAAAAGCAAAUGACGGGAAGGACGAUGAACAAACACACACAAAGAACAUGUUUAAAAUCA